AUACACAACAACAAGCGCGGAGAGGAGGACGCUGGAUCAAGCUGGAGGACAUGGCAACCGCGCUGAAAACAGAAGCGCUCCAAAUAUGCGACAAAGCCAAAUGAAUCUUGGUCAGCGGGCGGGGGCGCGCAAGGCACCGUACGCGUGCCCGGCGCUCUGUCUCUUCAGUGCGGAGGUUUACUACUAUCAUUCUAUCGCUACACCGAUUCACUCUUAAAAGCCUAUUCCUCGUUAAAGGAUACACGGCAGUCGCUUUUAAUUGAAAAUAUAAUUCAAAACUAACAGACGAAGCAAGUUGGAAAAAGUGUUGAGAUUUAAAAAAAAUAAAUAAAUAAAAUAAAAGCUA